CUUCUUUGCUCAACAGGCCACAGGCUCCUCUGGCACUGCGAGCAGGAGGGAAGGGGGAGUGACUGGCCUGCAGGAGCAUGCAACCGGCAGUGGGAGGGGAGACCAGAAUCGGACAGGAAAUAUCUCUCCUGUCUUGCAGCUGGUCGCAGUCACAACAAAAAGUGACCCCAGGGCAGUUGGGCCGCAAAUAUAUCCAUUAUGGGCCACAAGUUUGACAUGCUUGCUUUAAGACACCUUGAGCACUGGUAAAGCCAAAACUCCCAAGUUAAAGGUAAAAAAGCUUCCAAUAGCGUACUAUCAUCUGAACUGUAUGCUUUCACCAGAUAGCACCCUCAAAACUCCUCUCACCUUGUAUUUGGUCAAAUACGUCUGCUGCCACACUGUUUUUUUUCCUUUUUUUUAAUCCAAUCAUUUCUGCACCUCAUAUUCAAACUUUGUUGAUCUACCGUGUUUUCCCGAAAAUACACCCUACCCCGAAAAUAAGCCCUAGCUGGAUUAUCAGGGUGGGCUGCAAUAUAAGCCCUACCCCGAAAAUAAGACCUAGGCAGGGCCGGCAGCUGCCGGCCCUUUAAAUGCCACAGCCAACUGAGC